rnacentral:lncRNA from 1 species
CAGACAGUUCCCAGAGGACGUGUCCACCACUUACAUCGCUGUUGUCUGUCUUUACCAGGACGCGCUCAGUGGAAUCACAGAAGCCCUGAAGAACAACUUCCCUUGAUGUGAGAAGCAUCCCAUCUGCCACUGCUGGUUUGGAAAGUGGAGUAAGAGAGGCAGAUGCAAAAGAGUGCAGGAGGAUUAUCAACGCACCAGAGACCCACAGAACCCAGCUGAAAGCCUGGAUCCCAAUGCAGUGUCCUGCACGAGUCCAGCUGAAGACCUAGAGCCCAUGACAGUGUCUCAGACAACACCUGCUUUUGGAUUAGCGGUGAUGUAUCCGACUCCUUGGCAUAUAUACAGUACACCACUAUCUCUGCUGGUUCUUCAUGGAAGGAUCCAACCAACCUUGCACUGAAAACAACUGACAAAAUUUGCAUCUUCACAGACUUUGUGUGUAAACACACAGUGUAACAGUGUCUAGGUGGCAUUUACAUGGUCCUAGGUAUUAUGCAUGAGCCAGAGGUGAGUUACGUAUGUGAAGUGUACAUUGCAUGCAAACACAUUGCUGUUAUUUAAGGGACCUGAUUGCCUGUGAGUUUUAGAAUCUGUGAAGGAAGGUGCUGGGACCAGUGUCCUGUGGACAGUCAUAGCUAACUAUGGCCUCUCCAUGUGUGACUGCAUUCACAUUAGAGUCACGUGGCCCCAGCCAUUCUGACCUGGACUCUCUCUUUUGUAGGACACAUUGACAUCUUUUGGGUUUUCCUACUAUUGUAGUAGGUGUUUGUGACCUUACACCUGCCUGUUUACCUGUCAACUCACUGGUGUGAGCCACAUAUUUAUUUUUUGGCAUAGUUCCCUGCCAGAAACAUUUUGUUUUUCCUCUGGUGUAAAUGAUCUCGUACGACCUCCAGUCCCAAGCCUCUAAGAAAAUUCCUCCCUGAUACCUUGCACUUGUUUUCUUUGUGAACUACCAAACUAUUCG